rnacentral:rRNA from 1 species
AUUGAACGCUGGCGGCAGGCCUAACACAUGCAAGUCGAGCGGAUGAAGGGAGCUUGCUCCUGGAUUCAGCGGCGGACGGGUGAGUAAUGCCUAGGAAUCUGCCUGGUAGUGGGGGAUAACGUCCGGAAACGGGCGCUAAUACCGCAUACGUCCUGAGGGAGAAAGUGGGGGAUCUUCGGACCUCACGCUAUCAGAUGAGCCUAGGUCGGAUUAGCUAGUUGGUGGGGUAAAGGCCUACCAAGGCGACGAUCCGUAACUGGUCUGAGAGGAUGAUCAGUCACACGGGAACUGAGACACGGUCCAGACUCCUAAGGGAGGCAGCAGUGGGGAAUAUUGGACAAUGGGCGAAAGCCUGAUCCAGCCAUGCCGCGUGUGUGAAGAAGGUCUUCGGAUUGGAAAGCACUUUAAGUUGGGAGGAAGGGCAGUAAGUUGAUACCUUGCUGUUUUGACGUUACCAACAGAAUAAGCACCGGCUAACUUCGUG